rnacentral:rRNA from 1 species
UACGAAGGGUGCAAGCGUUAAUCGGAAUUACUGGGCGUAAAGCGUGCGUAGGUGGUCUUUUAAGUCCGUUGUGAAAGCCCUGGGCUCAACCUGGGAAUGGCAGUGGAUACUGGAAGGCUGGAGUACGGUAGAGGAGGGUGGAAUUCCCGGUGUAGCGGUGAAAUGCGUAGAGAUCGGGAGGAACAUCAGUGGCGAAGGCGGCCCUCUGGACCAGUACUGACGCCGAGGCACGAAAGCGUGGGGAGCAAACAGG